UCCUACGGGGGGCAGCAGUGGGGAAUAUUGCACAAUGGGCGAAAGCCUGAUGCAGCGACGCCGCGUGAAGGAUGAAGUAUUUCGGUAUGUAAACUUCUAUCAGCAGGGAAGAAAAUGACGGUACCUGACUAAGAAGCCCCGGCUAACUACGUGCCAGCAGCCGCGGUAAUACGUAGGGGGCAAGCGUUAUCCGGAUUUACUGGGUGUAGAGGGAGCGUAGACGGCGAGGCAAGCCAGAUGUGAAAGCCCGGGGCUC
rnacentral:rRNA from 1 species